rnacentral:rRNA from 2 species
GAUGAACGCUGGCGGCGUGCUUAACACAUGCAAGUCGAACGAAGCAUUUAGAACAGAUUACUUCGGUUUGAAGUUCUUUAUGACUGAGUGGCGGACGGGUGAGUAACGCGUGGGUAACCUGCCUUGUACUGGGGGAUAGCAGCUGGAAACGGCUGGUAAUACCGCAUAAGCGCACAAUGUUGCAUGACAUGGUGUGAAAAACUCCGGUGGUAUAAGAUGGACCCGCGUCUGAUUAGCUAGUUGGUGAGAUAACAGCCCACCAAGGCGACGAUCAGUAGCCGACCUGAGAGGGUGACCGGCCACAUUGGGACUGAGACACGGCCCAGACUCCUACGGGAGGCAGCAGUGGGGAAUAUUGCACAAUGGAGGAAACUCUGAUGCAGCGACGCCGCGUGAGUGAAGAAGUAAUUCGUUAUGUAAAGCUCUAUCAGCAGGGAAGAUAGUGACGGUACCUGACUAAGAAGCUCCGGCUAAAUACGUG